rnacentral:rRNA from 1 species
AGAGUUUGAUCAUGGCUCAGGAUGAACGCUAGCUACAGGCUUAACACAUGCAAGUCGAGGGGAAACGACAUCGAAAGCUUGCUUUUGAUGGGCGUCGACCGGCGCACGGGUGAGUAACGCGUAUCCAACCUGCCCACCACUUGGGGAUAACCUUGCGAAAGUAAGACUAAUACCCAAUGACGUCUCUAGAAGACAUCUGAAAGAGAUUAAAGAUUUAUCGGUGAUGGAUGGGGAUGCGUCUGAUUAGCUUGUUGGCGGGGUAACGGCCACAAGGCGACGAUCAGUAGGGGUUCUGGAGAGGAAGGUCCCCCCANAUUGGAACUGAGACACGGUCCAAACUCCUACGGGAGCA